rnacentral:rRNA from 1 species
CCCUUAGAUGUUCUGGGCCGCACGCGCGCUACACUGACGAAUGCAACGAGCUUAUAAUAACCUUGGCCGAAAGGUCUGGGUAAUCUCCAAAUUUCGUCGUGAUGGGGAUAGAUUAUUGCAAUUAUUAAUCUUCAACGAGGAAUGCCUAGUAAGCGCAAGUCAUCAGCUUGCGUUGAUUACGUCCCUGCCCUUUGUACACACCGCCCGUCGCUCCUACCGAUUGAAUGAUUUAGUGAGGACUUCGGACUGGGACCGAUGCGGCUUUCGGGCUGCGUCGGUAUUCUGGAAAGAUGUCCAAACUGUAUCAUUUAGAGGAAGUAAAAGUCGUAACA